rnacentral:lncRNA from 1 species
GUGUUUAAGUUACUUAUGUGCAUUACCUCAUUUAAUCCUUAAGAAAUCCUCUGAGGUGUGUGCUAAAUGAGUGUCAUGAUGCACCUUUUACACACAAGAAACCUGAGGCUUUGGGAGAUUCAGAAAUGUGGAUCUGAGAGCCCAAGCCCUGAGUCAGCAGGAAAACCCGCAUUUCUCCUGGUCCUGUAGUCUUGAUCAGCUGUGCUGGUGCAGCCAGCACAGAGUGGAGGCUUUGAAACAUACAUCGUCUCACAAAGGACCAUUGUUUCCAACACAGGGAUCAGAAUAGCGCUGCUCCUGUCUUCUGGGUUGUUGUAAACAGUCUGGGUAGACCAGGGUCUUAUCUCCAUCUCCAGCUUAGGAGGCAGGAGACAAUUUGAUAGAAGCUGCACUUCAAUGACCACAGGCACACACAAAGAGUCUGCACAGGUUCACCCAAAGAUCUAUCUCCAAAAGCUGAGCUUUUCCUAGAACAGCCAUAAUAUCUGGCUUUAUUCCACAUUUGUCUUUACCUUACUGCUUCUCCUAAAGAAAGCCCUAUGACAAAAAUUGGCAAUAAAAUUAUUAACCAUAAUCAUUUUUGUCUUAAACCAACUCAUUUAUGUUUAAUGACCACUAAAGUAGGUGAGUUAAAAAUAACCUCGUAUUCUAUUUCUCCUUCUAGGUGAUUGGCGUCUCUUUCCAUUCAAAAUUAGAGAAAAUACCAAAGCUCAGCAGUGAUCUUCCUUCUAGAGGCUUGUUGGAACUCCAAACACAUACCCCUGACAGAUACAACAGGGAUUAAUGAGCCAUGACCAGAAGUUUGAUUUUUCUGUCGAGUGCUCCCAUCCGUCUUUAAUAAACAGAAGAACAACAUAAACUCCAUUGCCUGCUUUCCACUGCUGAAACUGAGCUGGCUGUUCCUGGUACCAUGUGUGUUGAGCUGAGUUAUGAUUCUAAAUGACUCGACAAACGCUUUUACAAGCCCCUUUGGUCUGCUACUCUGGUGACUGGCUUUGCUCUCCAAGUUCCAUUUCUUUGCCUCUGUUUAACGUGGGCAGCUCAGUGCUUUGCCAGUGGAAACCAUCAAAUGUAAUAUCACAUUUACAACUAAAUGACUUCAAUUUAGUGUCACUGGUACACUAUCUGUGGUGUAAAACUGCCAAAAUACCCACUAUUUUCCCUUUAAGCCAUGCUGUGUGCUUUUUUGCAGAAGGCUGUCUCCUGCGAGGACCAGAAGUUGAGCCAAGGCACAUGGAACUUACAAUAGCAGAUGGGCAGAAGGAGAACUCCUGAAGCCUCCGAAGGAAGGAAAUCAUUACAGGGCCCUACAGAAGUAGGUCAUGUGCUACAGCUGCUCAUAGUUUAAGAGGAAGAAACAUGGGAUCUCAAACCUGGAACACGACUCUUUCAAAAUGCUUGUGAGCAACCCAAGAAAAACAUCCUCCUGAGGCUUAUCUAAUAACCAUGAUCUCUAAUCGUCUCAAUGUGUGCUCAUGUUUCCUUAGGAGUUUGCACCCACUUCUCAGAGCUAACGAGAUGCCGAAACAGAACACAGAAAAAAGUAAUGAAGGAGAUUUAAUAGUUUGUGUUAAAGCUAAUAUGGUCCAUUAGGGGCUGUCAUUUUUAUAAACAGUGAGGAUACGUUACCCUCUUCUUUGGUGUAAAGUCAUUCCGUGCAGGACCUGUAAACAUUCAGUAAUGAUCUGUAGAACAUGCAUGAACGACAAUUAAAGCACCACUUGAAAAGUCUGUUUUCCUCACAUAUUUGUUUUCUUGCUAAAUAAACUUGUAAAGUUCAUACAUGUGUACGCAUAUGCUUACAUUAUAAAAAAAGUGUGCAUUUCAUUAAGAACAUCUACGAACAGAUAUAAGUGUUUUUGGUUCCCAUUAGCUUGAGAAAUAUCAGAAGUGAUUAGUUAAAUGAGGAGCAUAGGUUCUGUUUUUUAGUGCAUACUAUAAUAAUAAAACAACCACUCUUUUAUGGUAGCUUAGCAAGACAAAAUUAUAGUUCACAAUGUCAUGAAAGGCAUGAUUACAACCUUUGAAAGUUACAAGUAAAAAAGCUUCUAUAAAACCUAUCUGUUGCCAAAAAAUUAUGUUCUACAGUGAUUCAGAUAUAUUUCUGAAAUUUAUUUUUUAAUUGUGGCUGAUACCAA